rnacentral:rRNA from 1 species
CCUACGGGAGGCGGCAGUGGGGAAUUUUGGACAAUGGGCGCAAGCCUGAUCCAGCAAUGCCGCGUGAGUGAAGAAGGCCUUCGGGUUGUAAAGCUCUUUUGUCAGGGAAGAAACGGUGGUUCCUAAUAUGGACUACUAAUGACGGUACCUGAAGAAUAAGCACCGGCUAACUACGUGCCAGCAGCCGCGGUAAUACGUAGGGUGCAAGCGUUAAUCGGAAUUACUGGGCGUAAAGCGUGCGCAGGCGGUUAUAUAAGUCAGAUGUGAAAUCCCCGGGCUCAACCUGGGAACUGCAUUUGAGACUGUAUGGCUAGAGUGUGUCAGAGGGGGGUAGAAUUCCACGUGUAGCAGUGAAAUGCGUAGAUAUGUGGAGGAAUACCGAUGGCGAAGGCAGCCCCCUGGGAUAACACUGACGCUCAUGCACGAAAGCGUGGGGAGCAAACAGGAUUAGAUACCCUGGUAGUCCACGCCCUAAACGAUGUCUACUAGUUGUCGGUACUUAUUGUCGUUGUACGCAGCGUACGCGNGAGAGACCGCCGNGGGUAAGGUACGGUCGCGAGUAAGUUAAACGUUAACGAAGAAGUUAGACGGCGNGAGACGNGCGACGGACGACGACGAGGGAGGAGG